UCGCAGAAACCAGUGAGGAGCGACUGUUUACUAAAAACACAGGUCCGUGCGAAGUCGCAAGACGAUGUAUACGGACUGACGCCUGCCCGGUGCUGGAAGGUUAAGAGGACCCGUUAACCCGCAAGGGUGAAGCGGAGAAUUUAAGCCCCAGUAAACGGCGGUGGUAACUAUAACCAUCCUAAGGUAGCGAAAUUCCUUGUCGGGUAAGUUCCGACCUGCACGAAUGGCGUAACGACUUCUCAACUGUCUCAACCAUAGACUCGGCGAAAUUGCACUACGAGUAAAGAUGCUCGUUACGCGCGGCAGGACGAAAAGACCCCGGGACCUUCACUACAACUUGGUAUUGAUGUUCGGUACGGUUUGUGUAGGAUAGGUGGGAGACUGUGAAACCUCGACGCCAGUUGGGGCGGAGUCGUUGUUGAAAUACCACUCUGAUCGUAUUGGGCAUCUAACCUCGAACCCUGAAUCGGGUUUAGGGACAGUGCCUGGCGGGUAGUUUAACUGGGGCGGUUGCCUCCUAAAAUGUAACGGAGGCGCCCAAAGGUUCCCUCAACCUGGACGGCAAUCAGGUGGCGAGUGUAAAUGCACAAGGGAGCUUGACUGCGAGACUUACAAGUCAAGCAGGGACGAAAGUCGGGAUUAGUGAUCCGGCACCCCCGAGUGGAAGGGGUGUCGCUCAACGGAUAAAAGGUACCCCGGGGAUAACAGGCUGAUCUUCCCCAAGAGUCCAUAUCGACGGGAUGGUUUGGCACCUCGAUGUCGGCUCGUCGCAUCCUGGGGCUGGAGCAGGUCCCAAGGGUUGGGCUGUUCGCCCAUUAAAGCGGCACGCGAGCUGGGUUUAGAACGUCGUGAGACAGUUCGGUCUCUAUCCGCCGCGCGCGUCAGAAACUUGAGGAAACCUGUCCCUAGUACGAGAGGACCGGGACGGACGAACCUCUGGUGCACCAGUUGUCCCGCCAGGGGCACCGCUGGAUAGCCACGUUCGGUCAGGAUAACCGCUGAAAGCAUCUAAGCGGGAAACCUUCUCCAAGAUCAGGUUUCUCACCCACUUGGUGGGAUAAGGCCCCCCGCAGAACACGGGUUCAAUAGGUCAGACCUGGAAGCUCAGUAAUGGGUGUAGGGAACUGGUGCUAACCGGCCGAAAACUUACAACA
rnacentral:rRNA from 1 species